rnacentral:rRNA from 1 species
UACGUAGGGUGCAAGCGUUAAUCGGAAUUACUGGGCGUAAAGCGUGCGCAGGCGGUUGUGCAAGACGGAUGUGUAAUCCCCGGGCUUAACCUGGGAACUGCAUCCGAGACUGGAAGACUAGAGUACUGGAGAGGGUGGUGGAAUUCCUCGUGUAGCGGUGAAAUGCGUAGAGAUGAGGAGGAACACCAGUGGCGAAGGCGGCCACCUGGACAGUAACUGACGCUGAGGCGCGAAAGUGUGGGUAGCAAACAGGAUUAG